GGUUUAAACAAUGCAGGAGUCAGUUAAUCUCUGUAGUAAUACCUUUUAAAAUUUAUACAUGGUAAGCAGACACAGCUGGCAGACUUUAAGGAAGGCCACUCAAGGGGGUGCCAGUUGGACAGCCCUGCACUCGAUAGUUGUGUCCAUGGAUAAUGGCACUAUUGACACUGCCAUCCCAACUCUGAAACUGUAUGCAUGACUAAAGAAUUGUGGGUGCUAAUUUUGCAAGCAUAUUGCCACGCCUCCAACUGGUCGUCUGCAAUCAGCAAUUUCUGGGGUUCUUUCAGCUCUGUGUCCCCAGGUGGUUCAGACCUGAGUUUGGUGUGUGCUUUAUUCAUCUGCAUUCUAUCAUAUGGCUACUCAAGUGUUAUCUGAUUUCAUUCUACCCUAUGGGUCUCUGUCUACUGGAGUGGACAACCAUGACAACUGCAGCAUUCUUCAGUUCUUCAUCAGUUGACUAGAAAAAAAACAGUGGGUGCUGAGGGUUUGCUUCUUGGGAAUGAUCACUUCGCUCUCAAGCACUGAUCCAUACGACAUUGCAUCAGUGAACUCCAACACACAGGGGCGCCAUUAGGGGGGUACUGGGGGGACAAUCCUCCCGGGCCCCCUCGAGUCACUAAGCCACUGAAGUAUGUGCCGCCAUGAGUAGGAGCCAGACCACCGUCAAAAGGAGCCAAGCUGCAGCAGUCGAAAGGAGCCGAGUCACAGAUGAAAGGAGCCAAGGAAAAAGAGUUGGCCCACAAAAAUUUACGGUGGCGUACAGGGGCCUGCUAAUUCUGAUGGUGGAACUGCCAAUACAUCUAUCCUACUACUACAUCUAUCUAAUUCUGCUUGUUACCUCUCUGAGAUGGUCUACCUCAGGCUCUCUUGUGUCAAGUGCUAUCCCCUUCUCAACAACCAAAGAGAGAGUGAUGCUCUGCCUUCCCCCUUAUACAACUUCCCCUGCAUAACAGUGCCACCUAGUGGCCACAGUAAUGGGUAACUACAUCUAUGAUAUAUAUAUCUGUAACUAAAUAGACACUUUGUAUGAACUUCACAGAUUUCACGGCAGAAAAUUUAUUAUAUGGACUAUCCAUGUUUGCUGCACAACGGUGACACCCAGUGGUGAGAUUUUUUUCUCUCUUUGAUGCAUUCUUUUCAAUGGCUAAUUAGUUAUGUGAAGUUCAAACCUUUGAUGACAUCAUACUUGGCGCCAAAAUUUCAAAUACAGGUGGGGGUAUAAAAAGACUGUUAUCACUGCAUGUAUGUAUCCUUGAAAAAGGCCCUAAGGAGGACCGAAACGUUGGA